AAACUGAUUGAUGUGGCGUGUGCCUGGUGAGGAUGGAGAGACUUGUAAUUUCUGGGAAGUUGUGCUCUCUGGAUCAUUUUCUGAACAAGGGGACCAACAAAGGCAGGGAGUAAAUCUGUUUUCCAGUGACUAGCAGCCUGAUCUUUCUCCAUGGCAAAACUCCCACUGACAUCAGUUGAGCUGGAUCUACCAUGAUGAAGAGAAAGAGAGAGUCUACGGCAUGACUAGCAGUGAUACAAACUUUCCUGUUUAGCGAGAUGCCUCAUCCUUUUCUGAAAGGCUCCCGUGUCACGGAGUCACCGGGCGAUGCUCUGGAACUAUUCUCUACGAAGCCAGUCAGGAACUCUGGGGGAGCCUCCUCUUUGUGAGCAGACUGUCUCCAGGGCAAGAAGCUUACAUAGCUUUGACCUUCCUGGGGCUGACCUCGGAGCAUUCAGUAUCCACUUUCACAUCGUGCGCUUCCCACAGGGAGUCCGCACAGGCAGGGCUCCUGGGGAAGCCAGUGGGCCCUGCACCCAAGUUCUGCAGUCAGACGUGACUUUCAGCCAGCCAGUAAAACAGAAGGUUUAGUAGAUGACAGGAACAUGGUCUAAAACAGAGCUUGUAGGUAUAGAGAACAGGACGCCACAGUCAGGUCUGUCUUGGGGGGCAGGGAGGCCAGCGCCCCAUCUGGCCUCCCUCCAUUUCCCCAGCCAGCUCCCAACUGAAACUCUCCAGCCCCUCCUCUCCUUUAUCUCUUUCCUGGGCCAGGAGGCCACCUGAUCUCUUUGUUCUCCAACCCCUUCAGUUGGCACCUUUGCAGAGGAGGGGCCCAGGCCAUCAGUUGCCAGGAGACAGGGUGUCGGCCAUUCUUUGUGCAUCAUGCUGGCCCCCCAGGGCUCUGCCACAAUCACACAUCCUUAUCCCACCACCUAGAUGACUUAAGAAUUACAUAGGGGAAAAUGAGGCACCCACACAGUAUUCAGAGAAAACAUGAAGAACAUUCCCACUUCAUCACAUUCCCCCUCACUUUAAAGGUGUUAGAUUAACAUGCUUGUAAAGCCCUGCCAAGAUGCAGGCUAACGCAACUGAACUAAUAUCAUGGAAAAAAACACACAUUUUUUGUCCCUCAAGACAGGCCUUCUAUGUCCAGUUACACUAUAAUGGUCAUUGUGAUGUGUAUGGAGCUGCUGUGUGAUAACUUAUGAAUGCUGCAUGUUGACCUGGUAACUGGGAUGUUUGCACUAUGAAUAUAUUGGUACAGUUUAAUAGUGGGCUGAAAGGAAAAACAAGCAGGAAGGGGAGAAUAGGCCAAGAUAAACCAACCCUUAGCAUACACUUCAAGGUUCUGACUUGACCUCCUGCUCACAUCCCUGGACUGGUUUGGUUCAAAAGGGCACAAGCGCAGGAGCUGACAAGAACAAAUGGACUCUGACUAGGUUAAGAAUGGUUUGUUUUCUCUCUCUUUAAAGAAGAGAGAGUUAUUGAGGAGAUGUUCAGGCAGGAACCAGGCUGUGACAAAUGCACCUGCUGGGGCGUCUGAAGAAGCUAGGCCUGCACUGGUUAUCACAAGGGGAUGGUAAGCCUUAGAAGGCUGUCUGAUCACUAUAUACACCCCUGCUCAGCCUCUGGAAGGGAAGAACUGCAGCUACUGACCCCAGUUGGAUUUCCUGGGUAAGCACAAUUAAUAGAGAGGGUACUGUAAACCAGGGUCUGCUCUGAGAGUGGGAGAAUUGUGGAAUUCCACCCCAGGAUAGGGAGAGGUGUGAGGCCUGAUGUCUGAGGGGGUGCACUCACACCAGGAAAGGUAUGGAUAGCUCUGUAACAGUCACACUUAAGUGAGCUGUAGCUCACGAAAGCUUAUGCUCAAAUAAAUUUGUUAGUCUCUAAGGUGCCACAAAUACUUCUUUUCUUUUUACUUACUAUUUGAUUGAGAGAAUCAUCUUGACUGGAGAAAGCUGCUAGUGGGUUAUUUAAUCCACUCUCACAGGGUUAUUAAUUACAGACAAAUGUCAAGUCUAUCCUUAAAUAUCUCCCAUGAAGUUGAAUUCUAAUGAUCACUUGUUCCAAUUCUUAAUUUUUCUUAUUAGGAACAACAUUAGAAUAUAUUCAGCCUAAGAAUUCCUUUCUGCAACCUAAGUCCCUGACUCAUGUCAUCAAUGACUAGUAAGAAUAAUAGAUUGCUUUAUGACAAUCUCUUAAUUAUUUGUAAGACAGUAAUUGGGCUCUUGGUUACACCAGUGUACAUUCACAAAAUUCAGUGGAGUUAGUCCAGAUUUACCAUGGCAAAGGUGACAGCAGAAUUUGGCCAGUCAUCUCUCUUCACAAUACCUUUCUCUAGAGUGAACAUGCCUACUUAUCUUAACCCUUCCUUGGUAUUAUAUUCCCGCUUGGUAUUAUACCCUUUGGUAUUAAUUUCCAAGCCUUUUCUCAUUUGUACUUGCAUUAUUAUUUGUUUGGUUAUCCAUAUGUGUGUAGCAUAGGCAAAUAUUCUAGGUGUUGUCCACACACAUAUGAAGACACAGGGCCUGAUUCUUGACGCCUUUUAAUCAGUUUUAAGAUUAUGUAAAUCUAUGGACUUCAAUGGAUUUACAUCAGUGAAAAACUUUGUAUAACAGAUUGGAGAAUCAGGCCUAGUCUCUGAGCUCUCCAUUUUGUCUGUGUCUGAACAUAGUUGCGGCCUAUUGAGUCCAAUGCUGAGUAGAGUGGAAUAGUUACCUGGUUUAUCUUAAAUGUGAUAUUUCUAUCCUAAUACAACUUGAUAUCAUCUUCAUUUUUUGUGAUGACAUUGACUCAUAUUCUACUUAACAUCCAAUUUAUAAUAGCGCUAUCUAAACCAUAUUUCUCUAUUUUUCCUUAUCAGAAUGUCACGUGGAACCUAUCAAAUACCUUAGUUAAGGCAGAUGUACUAGAUCAAGUGUAAUUUCCUUUAUGUACUAAAAAGUACAAUUAGUUUAGCAUAAUUUGUUUCUUUUGAGCAUAUGUUGCCUUCACCUUAUUUUUCACUAGGAGCAUAUAUACUGAUUGUGGGUGGGAGUUUCAAAAGUAACUUUGGAAAACAAGUCCCAUUGAAAGACACAAGGAUUUGUGCUCACAGCUUAUUCAGGCAUUUUUGAAAAUCUCACUUUAUUAGUUGUUGUAGCAAAUCUGAUUAUAUGUUAAAGUCACAUUUAUGGGUGUGUCACUUCCUUAGCCUUGGUCUACACUAGGAGUUGAGGUUGAAUUUAGCAGGGUUAAAUUGAUUUAACCCUGCACCUGUCCACACGAUGAAGCCCUUUUUUUCUACUUAAAGGGCUCUUAAAAUCGAUUUCCUUACUCCACCCCCAACAAGGGGAUUAGUGCUGAAAUUGGCCUUGCCGGGUCGAAUUUGGGGUACAGUGGAUGCAAUUAGAUGGUAUUGGACUCCGGGAGCUAUCUCAGAGUGCUCCAUUGUGACCGCUCUGGACAGCACUCUCAACUCAGAUACACUGGCCAGGUAGACAGGAAAAAGCCCGCAAACUUUUGAAUUUCAAUUUCCUGUUUGGCCAGCAUGGCAAGCUGCAGGUGAGUGCAGAGCUCAUCAGCAGAGGUGACCAUGCAGAGCUCAUCAGCAGAGGUGACCAUGAUGGAGUCCCAGAAUCGCAAAAGAGCUCCAGCAUGGACCGAACGGGAGGUACGGGAUCUGAUUGCUGUAUGGGGAGAGGAAUCCGUGCUAUCAGAACUCCGUUCCAGUUUUCGAAAUGCCAAAACCUUUGUCAAAAUCUCCCAGGGCAUGAAGGACAGAGGCCAUAACAGGGACCCAAAGCAGUGCCGCAUGAAACUUAAGGAGCUGAGGCAAGCCUACCAGAAAACCGGAGAGGCAAACAGCCGCUCCAGGUCAGAGCCCCAAACAUGCCACUUCUAUGAUGAGCUGCAUGCCAUUUUAGGGGGUUCAGCCAUCACUACCCCAGCCAUGUUGUUUGACUCCUUCAAUGGAAAUGGAGGCAACACGGAAGCAGGUUUUGGGGACGAGGAAGAUGAUGAUGAUGUUGUAGAUAGCUUACAGCAAGCAAGCAGAGAAACUGGUUUUCCUGACAGCCAGGAACUGUUUCUCAUCCUGGACCUGGAGCCAGUACCCCGCGAACUCACCCAAGGCUGCCUCCCGGACCCGCCGGGCAGAGAAGGGACCUCUGCUGCAUGUGUUUCAAGGAUCACAGGAUCUUCUCCUUCCCAGAGGCUAGUGAAGAUUAGAAGGCGAAAAAAACGCACUCGCGAUGAAAUGUUCUCUGAGCUCAUGCUGUCCUCCCACACUGACAGAGCACAGAUGAAUGCGUGGAGGCAGACAAUGUCAAAGUGCAGGAAAGCACAAAAUGACCGGGGGGGGGGGGGGCUGAAGAGAGUAAGUGGCAGGCUGAAGACAGGGCUGAAGCUCAAAGGUGGCGGCAGCGUGAUGAGAGGAGGCAGGAUUCAAUGCUGAGGCUGCUGGAGGAUCAAACUAAUAUGCUCCAGCAUAUGGUUGAGUUGCAGAAAAGGCAGCGCCCCCGCUACAGCCCCUGUGUAACCAACUGCCCUCCUCCCCAAGUUCCAUAGCCUCCUCACCCAGAUGCCCAAGGACACGGUGGGGGGCCUCCGGCCACCCAGCCACUCCACCCCAGAGGGUUGCGCAAGCAACAGAAGGCUGGCAUUCAAUAAGUUUCAAAGUUUUAAACUUUUAAAGUGCUGUGUGGCCUUGUCCUUCCUCCUCCACCACCGCUCCCGGUGCUUCUCUCCUCCACCACCCCUCCUGGGCUACCUUGGCAGUUAUCCCCCUAUUUGUGUGAUGAAUUAAUA